CGUUUAAGCGGUGUCUUUUUGGUUUGGGCCCUGUGGUUAAUUCCAGUCGCAUUUGCGAAAGGGAACAGGACUCUUGGAAAGCUAGAUUCUAUGAUAAACUCAACGUAUUCGGAGAUAAGGCAAAAGAUGCUUGGAGAUUUGGUAAUGAGUCCCUCAAUGUCUUCUGAACAGGUAGGUAAUGGCUAGAUAAAUAUUUUGAAAAACAAGCAGCCCUGCAAAGGAAUAGGCAUGACCUGCGACAUUGCCGAGGACUGUUGCACCCUUCUCUGCUUGAAGCGGUAUAAUGAGUGCGUGAUUUAGAAACUGGUUAGAUAGAAUUCAAAACAAAUAAAUUGUUAAAUAAUUAAAAGCA
rnacentral:misc_RNA from 1 species